GGCGCUGGAGAACUGAGGGGGGCUGCUCCUAGUACGAGAGGACCGGAGUGGACGCAUCACUGGUGUUCGGGUUGUCAUGCCAAUGGCACUGCCCGGUAGCUAAAUGCGGAAGAGAUAAGUGCUGAAAGCAUCUAAGCACGAAACUUGCCCCGAGAUGAGUUCUCCCUGAGACUUUAAGUCUCCUGAAGGAACGUUGAAGACGACGACGUUGAUAGGCCGGGUGUGUAAGCGCAGCGAUGCGUUGAGCUAACCGGUACUAAUGAACCGUGAGGCUUAACCUUACAACGCCGAAG
rnacentral:rRNA from 1 species